UUUCUGUGCAUCCACGGCCUCGGAGCACAAAGCAGACUCAUUUCUUAAUAGAGGCAGAGAAACACUCUUCUAUCAGACACACGGAAAGUAAAAGCGAGAAAACCCAGGGGAUAGAGGAACGGGUUUAACUCUUAUUAGUGAAGAAAAGAGCUUCAGAGCGCUCAAGAUCAGAGGAAAUGAGGAGCGGAAAUAAUAAAACGUCGAUUAACGUUCAUAUCAGAUGUUUUGUGAAGAUGUUUACUGUAGUCCUUAGGCGCAGCUUUAAUCCGUGGCAUAAGGGGACUUAAGGAUUAAAGAGUUGCAGAAACAUCUGCAGCGUUUCGGAUCAGGAGGCCGAACGUCUGCGUGACGAGCUCCGAGUCCGAGCUGCGGGUUUACAAGUCCAGAUCAGUACAGUCACGGAUUUACGCUGAGAUUGUUGAUACGACAAAAAAAGUUCGCCGAGACAGACGUUAAUCUCUGAGACUCGUGACGAAUACGCACCAAACUCUAUGUACUGUACAUCUGAAUGCAAAAGUUUUCACUCCCCUAUGUUUAAAC
ensembl:lncRNA